rnacentral:lncRNA from 1 species
GAGACUGUUGGGAUAGCAUUGGAAAUGUAAAUGAGGAAAAUACCUAAUAAAAAAUUUAAAAAAAGAAAAGAAAAUCCCAAAACUAAAACUACACAGAUGCUUAAAAUGCUCCCAAAUAGAAGCAACCAAGCUGUCCUUCAGUGACUUAGGAAAAUAAACAGGGAUAACAGAAUGUUAAUCAACAGCAAAAGAAGCGAGCCACCAAAGCACAGAAAGAUUUGGAAGAGACCUAAAUGGCCACUGCUAAGCAAAAGCAGAUAUAUAUAUAUAUAUAUCGAAAGGCAGAGCAGAGCAGAGCAUGAGUAAGUGGAACAUAGUUAUUUUUAGGGAACUUUUAGGAAAUAAAACAAUGCAGAUACAAUGGUAGAUACAUGACUUCUUUUUGUCAAAACCCUCAGAACUUUGCAACACAAAGAGUAUCCCACAAUGCAUACAACUUAAAAAAAAAUCUCUAAAUCUCCAAAGAAUUGUAGAUGAUAAUAGUGGCUCAACUUAAACAUUUUUGACUUUACAAUGAGACCAAUGUAUACUCAUUCAAAUAUUCUGGUUUUCACUUUCAGUUCAUAAUUCAAUUAUAUAAGGCAGUCAAGACUUCAUUAUAAAAUAGGUUUCAUAUUAUAUGAUUGUAGUCUCCCCUCCCCCAGCCUGAAACCUGCUUGCUCAGGGGUGGAGCUUCCUGCUCAAUUGUUCUGCCAUGCCCACUGCUGGAACCUGCUGCUUUGCUGUGCACAUGGUCACCCUGCUAUUGGACCUCAAGAUUAAUUGGCCGGAAUCAGGCCCCCUUCCCCUGCUUUAUAAUUGCGUGCGAAACAGUAAACUUGAGCUUUGAUCAGAAUGACUGUCUUAGCUACAUUUCUUUAUCUUGCCACGUAGCCCCUCUUCUCUUCCAGGUUUCCAAAAUGCCUUUCCAGGCUAGAACCCAUGUUGUGAUCUGCUGGCCGGACACAACAUAUGAUUUUGCCCAACUGUAGGUUAAUGUUAAGUGUCCUAAGCACAUUUAAAAUAAGCUAGAGAAAUAAUAAAGUCCAGGACUCUGGUGUAUUAAACUUACUUUUUAAUUACACU